rnacentral:lncRNA from 1 species
AGUUGUUUCCGCGGGUGGCAAAAAGCUAAAUUAGCAUGACACGAGCUGAAUUAAAUGUUAAAGACUUUGAAAAUAAAAAGCUUGGCAUCAGUGCGCCAUUGACAUUUCACAGAGAUACGCUUGUUUUGGUGAGAAAUCUUUGAAAAAGAAGAGGAAUUUCAAAUGAAUAUGAAAAGUGUAUAUAGUGUGUACAUGUCAUGUGUCACAACGUCCACAGAAGGUGGCGUCUCUCCCGGGUCGGGCGGCGCUCGGCUGUCGUCGUCGUCGCCGGCCUAUUAGCUGCCACCGAUCUCUGUUUCUGUGUCAUUUGGUUAUGUCUGUUUUGGUUAGCACCUGUUUUGUGUUAGGUCGUUAGUGGGGUAUUUAGUCUGUCUGUUUUUGUUGAGGUUUGUGCGGGGUUAUUUUCGUGUCGCCCUAUUAGUAGGUUGGGGGAUUUGGUCGUCCUCUGUCACUGUCAUUUUGGGCAUUAGGGUUGCGUCCCGACUCUUUUCAGGAUUAUCUUGUUCCUGUUGUUUUGGAGUAUUGUUGCCCUGCCUUGUUUUGGUAUUUGUGGACUUAUUCAUUAAACGUGUUUUCACGUACCUCGGGUCUCCUGCGCCUGACUUCACCCUCCUGCUAUUUAGAGUGGUCUUGACAUGUCUCAAAAUCGAUGUCCAUCUUACCUCUAUAUUAUUUUAUGUCCUGUGUAUUCGAGAAGAAAGAUGACGAUUUCAACGGGAAAGUGAGCCUGUCAGCAGGUGGUCUACAGCAGGGAGCCUGCAUAGGAGUGGAGAGAAGAGGAGAAGAGAGGACAGAAGAGGAGAGAUGAGAUGAAAGGGGAGAGGACAUAGUUUGAAGAGGAGAGGAGAGGAGAGGUGAUGAAAGAGGAGACGGUGGUUUGAACAUGAUUUUGGUUAGUAGAGCCUUCCUGGUUGGAGCUCAAAUGUGCACACAGAGCUAUCAUCGACUAAACACAAACUGUACGACUUGAUCUAGACAGCGUGUUUCUUUGUCUCCGUUUUAUUAUUAUUUUUAUUAUUAGGGGUUCAGCAACGAAGCUGGUGAAACCCUAUUGUAUUUGUUGUCGUUAAUUAUUAUUUUCCUUCUGCUGAUUUAGUGAAAAAUACAAAUUCCUGUGAGAUGGUAAGGGUGCAACUUUGCAAGAUUGUAAACGGUCAAGGGCCACACCCUCUCAUGCAUAGCCAUGCAUAUUGGCCACAUGGUGGCGCUAUAACAAGCAAUUGAAAAUGCUAACUUCGAAAGGUCACGCUCACCCCGUCCGAUACAUAUACAGUUGAAGUCGGAAGUUUACAUACACCUUAGCCAAAUACAUUUAAACUCAGUUUUUCACAAUUCCUGACAUUUAAUCCUAGUAAAAAUUCCCUGUUUUAGGUCAGUUAGAUAUGUUAAUUCUCUCUACUAUUAUUCUGACAUUUCACAUUCUUAAAAUAAAGUGGUGAUCCAAAAAACAGGGCGUUUGACCUAAAACGGGAAUUUUUACUAUAAUUAAAUGUCAGGAAUUGUGAAAAACUGAGUUUAAAUGUAUUUGGCUAAGGUGU